GACCUAAUGUAGAAGAUGAUGUACAGAGAAGAUUAGUAGAGACGCCACUUGGAAGGCUCUGGAUGUGAGAGGUUCAAGAUUCAUUUCAGCCUGCAGUAUGCCAAAUCCAAGUCUCCUCUUCUUUGGUAUCAAGGUUACGCAGUCUGACCAGGUCACCCUGAUGCAGUGUAAGGAAAUCCUGUUGCCCAGGAGAAGAAGCCAGCAUCACUUGGAGUAGAGAGCCCUCAGCCAAUGCUGCAGACUGCACCCCAUCUCUACCACAGUUC